ensembl:lncRNA
CACAAACACUGUCAGUGAUUUACCUGUAAGGGUGUAGUUAAAGAUAUGGCCCUUUGAGAUCUAAUACGUUUUAGCGCCUGACAAAUAUAUUGCUCUUGUGACCCCCACGUAGCUUCUCUGGAACUGAGUCAUCCUCUUCAGUUCUCUGGAAUGUAAACAUUUACCUGGAAUGGAUUGGGCUGAGAACUUCUCACCCUCCCUCUCUCUGUCAGCGUUACCCUAUAAAAGCAGAGCCAUCUCUCCACUCUGCACUAGAACACCUGAUUACUACAAUCUUCAAGCGCGCCACCGCACCGAGGAAGAACACACAGACACAGCAGCAAUGGGAGGGAAUACUUCACAUGAUGGUGCUGCUUCACAUGCCUACAGCCAUAAUGACAGCCAUAAUGACAGCCACAAUGACAGCCAUAAUGACAGCCAUGAUGACAACCGUGUUGACAAAAGUCAACACAUAACAGGCCAAAAUAUAUCAGGCCAAAAAAUAUCAGGCGAUAUGAAAGGCAAUUUUACCAUUGGCAACCAGACCAACACCACCAGUAAUUCCGCUUCACCAAAAACUCCCCCAAAAACUGUCGUACCCAGCAUCACCAUUGCCAACGUUACAGGCGGCAAAGUGCGUCUCUACUACAAGUCAGAGGAGAUGGCUCUCAGUGACCUCAUCAAGGGAAGUCAUCUCAGCAAGGGGGACUCCAUUAUCAUCCUGGAUGGCACCGUUAAGACGACCAACCUCCCUCAGAGCCUCUAUGUCACUGGCUUCCAAGUAGAAAAUGACAAUACUCAAUCAUGUCCUGAGGAAGGCCCAAUUUAUGGUCUGGACAACCUCCUGGCAGAGUAUGAUGACGGUCACCCCAAGUCCUACAUCCUCACUGCCGACAAAGGGGUGAAGGUAGCUGAAACAGGAAAGAUCUGGGUGGAUGAGGACGGGGUGGAUCACAACCCCAACAAGUAACGCCACCAGGGACCCUCCUGUAUCUUAACACCCUUUAUUAAUCACAGAUUAAACUACAUGAAAAUUAUUGAUUAAAAAAAUAAAGAGAGCAUGCAUCACAGAUAAGUGAAAUAGUUUUUCAAGAUACACUCUCAGUGUAUGGUAGAAAUCAGCAAUGUAAUCAAUGUAGUUUUGUGACAAAUAAAUAAAUGUUACCAAACUGAGAAAAUA